CCUACGGGCGGCAGCAGUGAGGAAUAUUGGUCAAUGGACGAGAGUCUGAACCAGCCAAGUAGCGUGAAGGAUGACUGUCCUAUGGAUUGUAAACUUCUUUUAUAUGGGAAUAAAAUGUUCCACGUGUGGGAUUUUGUAUGUACCCUAUGAAUAAGCAUCGGCUAACUCCGUGCCAGCAGCCGCGGUAAUACGGAGGAUACGAGCGUUAUCCGGAUUUAUUGGGUUUAAAGGGUGCGUAGGUGGAAUGUUAAGUCAGUGGGGAAAGUUUGGGGCUCAACCGUAGAAUUGCAGUUGAAACUGGCAGUCUUGAGUAGAGUAGAGGUAGGCGGAAUGCGUGGUGUAGCGGUGAAAUGCAUAGAUAUCACGAAGAACUCCGAUUGCGAAGGCAGCACACUGGACUGCAACUGACACUGAGGCUCGAAAGUGUGGGUAUCAAACAGGAUUAGAUACCCGAGUAGUC
rnacentral:rRNA from 1 species